CCCCAGAUGUUGCUGAACUACAACUCCCAUGAUUCUCUGGCUAUCUUUGUAAUUCAUGGGAGUUGUAGUUCAGCAACAUCUGGGG